CGCCGGCGACCGGCGCACGGGUGAGUAACACGUAUGGAACCUGCCCGCAGCAGGGGGAUAAGCGGAAGAAAUUCCGUCUAAUACCGCGUAACAACGUUGGGAGGCAUCUCCCGAUGUUUAAAGAUUUAUCGGCUGCGGAUGGCCAUGCGGCGCAUUAGCUAGUCGGCGGGGUAACGGCCCACCGAGGCGACGAUGCGUAGGGGUUCUGAGAGGAAGGUCCCCCACACUGGUACUGAGACACGGACCAGACUCCUACGGAAGGCAGCAG
rnacentral:rRNA from 1 species